UGGGGAAUUUUCCGCAAUGGGCGAAAGCCUGACGGAGCAAGACCGCGUGAGGGAGGAAGGCCUACUGGUUGUAAACCUCUUUUGAUAGGGAAGAACACAAUGACGGUACCUAUCGAAUCAGCAUCGGCUAACUCCGUGCCAGCAGCCGCGGUAAUACGGAGGAUGCAAGCGUUAUCCGGAAUUAUUGGGCGUAAAGCGUCCGUAGGUGGUUAGCCAAGUCAGCUGUUAAAGCGUGGAGCUUAACUCCAUAUCGGCAGUUGAAACUGGUUAGCUAGAGUGCGAUAGGGGCAAGGGGAAUUCCCAGUGUAGCGGUGAAAUGCGUAGAUAUUGGGAAGAAUAUCGGUGGCGAAAGCGCCUUGCUGGGUCUGCACUGACACUGAGGGACGAAAGCUAGGGGAGCGAAAGGGAUUAGAUACCCUGGUAGUCCACGCCGUAAACUAUGAGCACUAGAUGGAUGCCGAGCUAUCGGUGUCUGUCGGAGGCAAUUUGGUAAGUG
rnacentral:rRNA from 1 species